AUUGAACGCUGGCGGCAGGCCUAACACAUGCAAGUCGAGCGGAUGAAGGGAGCUUGCUCCUGGAUUCAGCGGCGGUCGGGUGAGUAAUGCCUAGGAAUCUGCCUGGUAGUGGGGGAUAACGUCCGGAAACGGGCGCUAAUACCGCAUACGUCCUGAGGGAGAAAGUGGGGGAUCUUCGGACCUCACGCUAUCAGAUGAGCCUAGGUCGGAUUAGCUAGUUGGUGGGGUAAAGGCCUACCAAGGCGACGAUCCGUAACUGGUCUAAGAGGAUGAUCGGUCACACUGGAACUGAGACACGGUCCAGACUCCUACGGGAGGCAGCAGUGGGGAAUAUUGGACAAUGGGCGAAAGCCUGAUCCAGCCAUGCCGCGUGUGUGAAGAAGGUCUUCGGAUUGUAAAGCACUUUAAGUUGGGAGGAAGGGCAGUAAGUUAAUACCUUGCUGUUUUGACGUUACCAACAGAAUAAGCACCGGCUAACUUCGUG
rnacentral:rRNA from 1 species